ensembl:lncRNA
AAAAGCAUCCAAUAAUCUGAUAUGCUUCCCUUUAUAGGUUGACAGAUUUAAUCAGAAACCUCACAACCCAGAAGGAAUUGGGCCCCCAUCUUUAACCUCCUGAAACAAUUGUCAGCCAAGAGUUUUGUAUUCAGCAAAACCAAGCUUCAUAAAUGAGAAAGUCUUUCAAAUGCUGAGAGAAUUCACCACCAAACCAGCACUACAAAAAAAAUUUCCCACCAUCUACACCUAGGAAAGGCCAUAAAGUUUCUUCUGAUCUUGGAGAUGUGACAAGAGAAUUCAAGAGAAAAGGGAGUUGGUUCUGCCAAUAAGGUAGUAUCCCUCAACUGUUGGGCAUAGACGUUCCCAGGCUCUUACCAGCGAAAGGACUCCAUGUAGAAGGAUACUUCUCAUGGUACUUUGGACUUCUUGUUCAAUGGUUUGUCUGCAAUGUUCUUUUGGGCCUUUGCAAGCACAUACAACUUGAGCCCACAAGAAGUUAAGCCUCCAAAGGAUGAGUAUUAAAAACCAUGAAGGGCUGGUUAAGCCCAGUGAAUUAUCUACAGAGAAUCAAAGUCCCAGAGGUGUCCUCAGCUCCAUCCCAUGCUCCGAGAUACAACUGUUCAACAUUCACAAGGAGGAGGAGAUGGUGUCCCUGGACACCAGACAGUAGUUGUGCUCUCUUGUCUAAUAGAGAAGCAUAGGAACAAUAUCACAGGAGCAAGAGGGUUCCUGCACAACAGGGCAUCCGCAGCAGCCUUGCUGCCAUCACCUGGCUUCACCUUCUAGACUCCUUUGAACAUGUGGAAGAUACUGAGGCCCAGAGAAACCUACCAAGAGAUUUUACUGCAAGCUUUCCAACACCUCAGCAGUUACUUCAGUUCAUCCUUCACAUGUCAGCCACUUCUCUUGCUCUGCCUUGGCAGAAUCACCAAAAAGACACAAAACAGGGAGAAGAAUCACGAAAGAGGAAAGAUGCUCAUCACCAGGCAGCAGCCCCAGCAGUGCAACACCCUCAUGUGCACCUCUAGAGGACAGCCAAGAAGCUCAUCUUCACUGACUUCUUGCCAAGGAGCAUUCUACCAGGGCCUGCACUCAAGGAACCAGUGAGGACUCCAGGGUCAGUCCUGCAGGUUAUCCACCAUUCUGGGUUAACUGGUCAUAAAAAAUGUAAAGACGUGGUUGAGACGGCUGCUGUAAGACCAGCUCUAAGAUCCUACCUUCCUGGUAGGUGGCAGAAAUGCUUAAAGGUCCUGAAGGUGAAGACUCCACUUGAAAUCAGUGCCCACCACUCACAACAUCUUGUGUAUAGAAUGGAAACAGACCCUUUAUUGACCAAUAAAGUCAAACAGAGGGCCCCAUGGGGCAGUUGGGGUAUGUCUCCAUUAUUCACUGACUCAGACCACAAAGUGACAAAAACCAGACUCCUCUGGCCAAUACACAAACCUUGGCACUGCCAUAGCCCUCCCCCUGCCAGCCUGCUCUGGGCUCAAAAGCCAGCCCAGAUGGACCAUGAAGAGUGAGGCUCUCCUCUGAGCUGAACCCGCAUCAGGACAGCAGCCUUUCGUCUUCAUGCUGUCACCUGGCUUUACCUUCUAGAAUUCUCGGAAAAGUUAAG